GGUUACAGGGAGCCACGCAUCCAAUCUUCUUCGCAGUAAUUGGAAUAAUCAGCUGUUUCCUAGUAAUGGUUGGCAACAUUUUUCUUCUUCUUCUAGCUAUCAAUUAUUUUCAGGGUUACCCCUUUUAAAGGCGCACACCACAGAGUCACAGUUUGGUGGAAGAGCAUGUGAUUUCAAUAAGACGGUGCCACGUGCCACCCAUGGGCUUAUUGAGAUGUGAGUUCGGUGGACAUUAUAUUUCACAUUGGGGACCAGUCAAUUGGCGUUCAACACUUGGAUGAAAUAAUUCUCAAACCUUCCAUUGUCAGUUAUUGUGAAUUUAAUACAACCCUGCAACACAUAUAUUUGUGCAGCUCCCCCUACAUGUGAUGAUGUAAAUAUGAUCAUGUAAAUUCCGGUUACCUAAUAACAUCGAUUAUCUAGUAUAGAACAAUCUAGAAAAGAUUUUAUAUAUAAGCAUGAGAAGAGAAGGAAAGUUAUCUCAGUUUGUAAAGUGUCUGCCUAAAAGUUAACAAGUGUGAAAUAAAGUCCUAAAUAAAAACCGAAA